GCAGCUCAGUGGUAGAGCACCUGGUGCCAGGUUCAAUCCCUGGCAUCUCCA
rnacentral:tRNA from 1 species